ensembl:lncRNA
GCUGAUUAUUUUUAAGAAACUGUAGAUUCAGGAAAAGCUCUUUACCUCCCCCUCAACUGCCUAAAUUUACAUUGGAAAGGAGGCCUGUACUAGAAGAGAGCUAUUAUCAAAGAUACAUACCUUUUUACCUAAGAAGCUCAUGUGUGUAACUGGACAACCUGUUUUCCAAACGUCUCCUCCCGUCUUGUGAACGAUCUGCCUCUCCUUUGUAUUUCCAGACCCCUAACGCCUUUCCUUAACUUAGGAUGUUCUAUAACUUAGCUGCCCAUUGGGGCUCAUAUUUCUAUGCGGCCACCAUACGUGAAAUAAAAUGUGCUUCUUUUUCUUGUGUUAAUCUGUCUUACAUCAAUGUAAUAAUUAUACCAGCCAAAGAACCUGGAAGAGAAGAAUGGAAAUUUUUUCCACCCCUACAUCUGGCAACUGUGAAAGGGAUCUUCACUGGCUGGACACCACUGGUUCUGGGGCUGCUGCUGCUGCUGAGAGAUCCUGGGGCCUCUGACAAAAGCUGGCAGAAGGGAAGUGACCCUACCACAGUAUACCUGAUGACAUCAUCAGAGACAUUCAAACUGCAAACCAGGAAAAUCAGUCAAAUUGUCCCUGUCUGCCUUCAUUCCAUCUGAAGAUGCUUCAAGCCUGGCAUUUAGAAAUAUUCUUGACUGGCAGCUUUCAAGACUCAGGCACUAGGUUUAUAAUUUGCUGCAACCAUUAACCUUUGUUUUUCUUCUGUUUACCUGAUUGCUUGCACAACAGAGGCCUAACUUUGGGAGCCCACCUGCAGGACUGCUUCCCAAAAUGAGACAACUCUUAAACUGAACUGAUCUAUUCUCAAGACUGAGUCUGGUUCAAAGAGAUUUGGAGCAAUCUUUCAACUUAAUUUCUGGACUGUGAAACUUCUUAUUUUAAGUUUCAAAGACAGUAUUGCAGGGGAGCAAAAUAUGUCUCUUUGUCAUCAGGAUUAUUUUAGGUUGAUUACUUUCAAGAAACUUCAAAUUAAGGAAAAGCUCUUUACCUCUCCCCACCCCUCAGUGGCCUAAAUUUACAUUAUUUGCUCCUUAUAUGCUAGGAAAAGAGCUAUUGCUAGAGAUACCUUUUAUACCUAAGAAAUUUAUCUUUACAACAAGACAAUAUUUACUUUUCAAACAUCUCUCACUUUCCUGUGAAUGGCCAUCCUUCUCUUUCUAUCCCCAGACUCCGGUACCUUUCCUUAGCUCAAGAUGUUCUAUAAGCCUUAAUUACCUGGCUGCCCUUUGGGGCUCAUAUUUUUAUGAGACUCCUAUACAUUCUGCUACUAAUCCAUCUUAUAUCACUUUAAUUAUUGGAUCAGCCAAAGAACCUAGAAGGGAAAAAGAAAACAUUUUUCUGCCCCUACAAAACAGUUUCUAGAAUUAAUUAGAAUUCUGAAUUAGAUUGUCAUAAGUUGAAAUGCAUAUUGUAAUAUUUAGAGCAAACACUAAGAAAGUAACUUAAAAAGUACAGCAAAAAGGAAAAAACCAGAAGAAUUAAAAUGACAUACUAAAACUAUUUAUUCAACACAAACGAAAGAAAGGAGAAUAAGAAUAAAGAGACAAAAUAGAAAGCA